CCAUUACUUCCUGUCACAACCCCACUAGGGGACUAUGGUCUCUACAGGAAGGAGGAGUUUCCUGUUUGAAGUUUAUUACUCAUCAAGUCAGCUCCCUUUUGUCUACAAGGAGACUACGUGCUCAUUUUGCUAGAAAACAAAGAUUAUGGAGCGCAGAACCCUGAACCUGCAGCAUGCUAUACAGUAAACAGAUGAUCAGUGCAGGAGCGCAUUUAUACAGUGGUGUCACUAGGCUCUGCCAAAACUUGCAGCGGGAAAGAGUCGGUGAAAUCUAGGAAUGGAC